GGGCCCGUAGCUCAGUUGGAUAGAGCACCGACCUUCUAAGCCGGGUGUCGCAUGUUCGAAUCAUGCCGGGCCCA
rnacentral:tRNA from 1 species